AUUGAACGCUGGCGGCAGGCCUAACACAUGCAAGUCGAACGAGUGGCGGACGGGUGAGUAAUGUCUGGGAAACUGCCUGAUGGAGGGGGAUAACUACUGGAACCGGUAGCUACUACCGCAUACACAAAGAUGUGCCCAGAUGGGAUUAGCUUGUUGGGGGGGUAACGGCUCACCAAGGAGACGAUCCCUAGCUGGUCUGAGAGGAGGACCAGCCACACUGGAAGUGAGACAAGGUCCAGACUCCGACGUGAGGCAGCAGUGGGGAAUAUUGCACAAUGGGCGAAAGCCUGAUGCAGCCAUGCCGCGUGUAUGAAGAAGGCCUUCGGGUUGUAAAGUACUUUCAGCGGGGAGGCGUUACCCGCAGAAGAAGCACCGGCUAACUCCGUGCCAGCAGCCGCGGUAAUUC
rnacentral:rRNA from 1 species